UUUUAGGUGAAACCAAACGACCACAAUCCUUUCUCCAAAAUAUCACAACUUUAAUAAAGAUUCAGAGUUUUGUACACAGCACGUGUUCAGAACAAUACGACACCAUACAGGACGUGGACGUCAACAGUAUUUGUGCAAUCAACGUAGACCAUAGAGCAUAAUGGCAACAAAAGUAUCUCCAACAAUAGCUUUCAGUUUCAUAUAUCAUAAACACGAUGACAUUACAAUAAAAAGAAGAAGAAGAAAAGCCCUAAAAAGUUCUGGCAUGAGCUGAACAGACACCAAUAGCAAAGACACUAGACGAACAGAGGCACAACAAGACGGUUUUGACUUGUUCUAGUGUUAGUUCGGUGGCGCCGUGCAGAAGCUUCAAGUACUGUGUUUAUGAUGCUGUAAAACUUUGAUCAAACUGCUUUCAUCUCGCAGUGUCACCGGGGACCUUAAUGAUGCUUAAUUAGCUAAAAACAUCCUCAGGAUAUUAAAGAUGGCGAUGGUACACGGGUACAAACACCCCUGACAGGCACUUUCCACCGUGAGUAGUAAAAUAAAAUCAGCUUUUUUUUUUAAAGACACUUUGAAAUGAACAAUUUGUUUAUACCAGAAGAUUCUGGUGUUAAUAGGAGUUAGUUUAGCAUGAAGGGAAAGGAAAGUUUAGCAAGGCAUUCUAACUCUGCGGCGUUCAUGCAUGGAAUGUCUUCUUUUUUUUUUUUUUUAAUGGUGAAAAGAUUUUGGAUUUAUUUAUCAGAAGCUGCGUUUCCGUUACGAACAGUGCGCAAAUUUUGUCGCAAAAUUAAAAUGUCUCAAUUGCUAGAUUUUCCUGAAUUAAGAAUCACGUGAACGAGUUUGUUCACGCGAUACAAAACAAAACAAAAAAAACAUGCCACGUCAUCAUCCUCCUAUCACUUCCUGUCUUCUCCACUGUUAACAAUAACGAUUGGUUAUUGAUCACAUGACUCGUGUGACGCGGGGAAAAAAGUGUUUCCAUUGCAUUUUUGCAAAAAAUACGGUGAGUUCAAUACUCAAAAAUCUUUUCACCAAAAACGUGUUAAUUUGCAAAAAUUAUGUGGUGAACGGAAUUGCAGCUCCUGAUGCAUGUACAACAUUUAAAAACAUUUCAAAUUUCUGUUUACAACUUUGAACAUUGCAUCAACAUAUCUCAUACAUAUCAGAUGUAAUGUAACACCACAUAUUUAAUAAUGAAAAAAGAAGAGUUUAGGUUAGCAGUUCUCAAAAGUUGGUCAAGUCCAUAAUAAAUGCAUCAGACACUAAAAGUCACUCUCAGAAAGACAAACACAGCCACCUUGCAGGAAUGUAAAACGCAACGACCUAGCCCGCGACACCUCGCAGCGGCAAGACAUUAUCAGUUCUAGAUUACAUCAUGCAGAAGAGAAAAACAAUGCAACAUCAUUCACAUCUGAUCCAUCUUCCCCCUCAUUCUCCUGUUUUCCUCUAGCUUUCAUCAUUGACUCCAGGCUGCCAUCCGCUGCUUUAAUAUUCCCAACACUUUCUCCAACCUUUUUUCACCGCCUCACCUUGACUCCGAGCUCUGAAGCUGUCACAGCCCUUAGAUAAUACCACUUCAAGCCUGGUGCACAAAUGGAGGGAUUCCAGCUGCCCCCUAUUCAACUUCACUCUUCCCACACGGAGCUCUCAGCUGGAAGAGGACGGCUCAGACUCGGAACUCACUGGAUUCAGUACAAGCUUUCAAGAAGUUAAGCACACGACGGUGUCUGGAGUGCGCAGACAUUAAAUGACGCUGCAUCACUAUUUUCAGUCAUUCAGAAAAAAAUAUAUAUAUAUAUACAUAUAUCUUGCAAAACAGAAUAUGAAUACAUGAAGUUAAGAUAUUAACCUUGGCACUGUGCUUUGAGAGGCUCGUUUCUGCUAAACCUCGACUGACACCAAACCAAAAACACUUCAGAAACACUUGUUGGAAAAUGAAGUGAGUGCUGUCUGAAAUAAGCAAAUUCACUGUUCUCUUAGUCUACUCUGCGUCACUGAGUGCUUUGUUAAACUGUGGUCACAGUUAGGGGAAUAAGUUCAGACAUUCAGAGCUGUUAGAAAAUAAUUCUUCAGCUCAGAGAAGUUUAGCUAAUAGCCUGUUAACUCAGAGAGGAUAAGCUAAUAGCUUGUUAGCUCAGAGAGAAGGAGCUAUCGGCCGGUUAGCUCAGAGAGAAGGAGUUAACGGCAGGUUAGCUCAGAGAGAAGGAGCUAUCGGCCGGUUAGCUCAGAGAGAAGGAGCUAUCGGCCGGUUAGCUCAUAGACAAUGAGCUAUCGGCCGGUUAGCUCAGAGAGAAGGAGCUAACGGCCGGUUAGCUCAGAGAGAAGGAGCUAACGGCCGGUUAGCUCAGAGAGAAGGAGCUAUCGGCCGGUUAGCUCAGAGAGAAUGAGCUAAUAGCCUGUGUGCUAGAAUUUCACAAGUUCUGAUUAGCCAACUGUGUUCAAAAUGUUCACUCUUCACAUCUUGUUAGCUGUAGAGAUCUUGAAAGUGGAUGGGUGUAGCUGGCCGGUUUGGCAUUUCAAACGCAGGACUUGAAAAAUUCUCCAGUGAGUAUUCUCAUUGAUAUACAUAAAACAUCAGCAGGAUAACAAGUUGGGGAUACGCAACGUGAUUUGGUUUGAAACGUGUAACGACUUGACUUAACAGCAGCUUCAAAGUUUUAUUACCAGAUCAUAUCUGAGGGAGUUUUUUUUUUUUUUUUUUGCUUUUCAUACAAUAUACAGUGGACUGCAGUUAGAAGCACACUGAUCGGAUCACGUGAUAGCGACUUUAUCCCCCUUUUGCUGCCAAAACAGUCGUCAUCCGCCAUGUUUGA